GACGAAGGUGGCGACCGUUGUUCGGAAUCACUGGGCAUAAAGCGCGCGUAGGCGGCUUUGCAAGUCGGGUGUGAAAUCCCCAGGCUUAACCUGGGAACUGCAUUCGAGACUGCAUUGCUAGAGUAUGGGAGAGGGAAGUGGAAUUUCCGGUGUAGCGGUGAAAUGCGUAGAUAUCAGGAGGAACACCGGUGGCGAAGGCGGCUCUCUGGACCACAACUGACGCUGAGGCGCGAAAGCUAGGGGAGCAAACAGG
rnacentral:rRNA from 1 species